rnacentral:rRNA from 1 species
GACGAGCGCUGGCGGCGUGCUUAACACAUGCAAGUCGAACGGAAAGGCCCUGCUUUUGUGGGGUGCUCGAGUGGCGAACGGGUGAGUAACACGUGAGUAACCUGCCCUUGACUUUGGGAUAACUUCAGGAAACUGGGGCUAAUACCGGAUAGGAGCUCCUGCUGCAUGGUGGGGGUUGGAAAGUUUCGGCGGUUGGGGAUGGACUCGCGGCUUAUCAGCUUGUUGGUGGGGUAGUGGCUUACCAAGGCUUUGACGGGUAGCCGGCCUGAGAGGGUGACCGGCCACAUUGGGACUGAGAUACGGACCAGACUCCUACGGGCGGCAGCAGUGGGGAAUAUUGCACAAUGGGCGGAAGCCUGAUGCAGCAACGCCGCGUGCGGGAUGACGGCCUUCGGGUUGUAAACCGCUUUCGCCUGUGACGAAGCGUGAGUGACGGUAAUGGGUAAAGAAGCACCGGCUAACUACGUG